rnacentral:rRNA from 1 species
GUCCUAGCUGUAAACGAUGGUCACUAGGUGAUGGCUCCGUUGGGAGUCAGUGCCGCAGGUAACCCGUUAAGUGACCCACCUGGGGACUACGGCCGCAAGGUUGAAACUCAAAGGAAUUGGCGGGGCCAGCACAAGCGGUGGAACAUGUGGUUCAAUUCGAUGCUACGCGAAGAACCUUACCCAGGCUUGACAUGCUUGAAGUAGGAACCUGAAAGGGAACCCACUCGUAUCCAGUCGAGAGCUUGCACAGGUGCUGCAUGGCUGUCGU